GCGACUGUUUUACGUGCGCAUCAUCAAGUUUGCCCCAAUUGCUUAGAGAGCAUCAUUGGGCUUGGUUUGGUUUCUGUGUUGGCUACCUACUUGGAAGAGAGUGUCCCUUAAUGUUUGUCUUUGUAUCSGCUUGCACCCUUUUAGGGGGAAUGCUCGGUGAUCUUAGUAAUGCUUCUCAUAUUCCAUUGUCACGCUAUCACAGUGUAGUGGUGGCAACGGCCUAUGUGUAAGUAUUCGUAAUCUUGGAUGCGGAAUGCGGAAUUGGGUAUUGGGUUGAAUAAACCUUUUAUCCCAAGCAGAGCAUCUUUAUGCUCGGCACGUACGACACUUGCAAUUGCGUUGACCUUUCCCAACUUGAUUGAUGGGGGGGCUCAUGCGAUGCA
rnacentral:misc_RNA from 1 species